rnacentral:tRNA from 1 species
UGCCCGGUGCGCAGGCAACGGAUACUUCGACUCUCGAUCGGCGGGUUGUGGGUUCGAGUCCCACCCGGUCCACCA